GUGCCAGCAGCCGCGGUAAUACAGAGGUCCCAAGCGUUGUUCGGAUUCACUGGGCGUAAAGGGUGCGUAGGCGGUUGGGUAAGUCUGUCGUGAAAUCUCCGAGCCCAACUCGGAAACUGCGUCGGAUACUAUUCAACUCGAGGAAUGGAGGGGAGACUGGAAUUCUCGGUGUAGCAGUGAAAUGCGUAGAUAUCGAGAGGAACACCAGUGGCGAAGGCGAGUCUCUGGACAUUUCCUGACGCUGAGGCACGAAAGCCAGGGGAGCAAACGGGAUUAGAUACCCCAGUAGUCC
rnacentral:rRNA from 1 species